ACUGCAGGCUGCAACUCGCCUGCACGAAGUCGGAAUUGCUAGUAAUCGUAGGUCAGCAUACUACGGUGAAUACGUCCCCGGGCCUUGUACACACCGCCCGUCAAACCAUGAGAGUUGGCAACACCCGAAGUCGGUAGUCUAACCGCAAGGAGGACGCCGCCGAAGGUGGGGUUGAUGAUUAGGGUUAAGUCGUAACAAGGUAUC
rnacentral:rRNA from 1 species